CUAUCAUUAUACGAAAAUCCAAUUAAUAUUAUUUAUAAAUAGGACAGCAGUUUUAUCUCCAACGUGAUUAUUCCAGUUAAGUUUUACUGAUCGCACAGCAUUAAUAAGUUCAAAUAAUGGUAACCUAUGGCCACAAAAGUCACGGACUUCUAAACGCAAGUAACUUAUUAAUGUACAGAAAUAAACGAGGCUGAACAGUGAACACUCCUUGCCAAAGGAUCAUUGGUAACGAACCGAUGACAUAACACUACAAACAUUUUCGAUGGUCUUUAAAAAAGAUUGUUUCAAAACGUGAUACAACAAAAC